rnacentral:ncRNA from 1 species
UCUUCGCUGCUGAUUUACGGUUCUUUUAGAAAUAAAAGAUGAAAAGGGAAUUUGGUGAAAAUCCAAAACUGUUCCCGCAACUGUAAUACAUAUAUAAAAUUAUAAUUCACAUGCCACUGUAGUAUAACUAUGGGAAGGCGGUUAUAAUUGUGUAAAGUCAGGAGACCUGCCAUAAAUCAAAAUAUAAU